AUAAUCUUGAGGGAAGCCUCGGGAGGCGACGCAGAUUAGGGCACUUGAGGUCAAGCUUCUUGAGUUGAGGAGGGAGGUCCAAAUCCUUCAUCGAGCAAAGUGACUCGCAACGUUUCAAAUGUAAGGAGGAUAAACUUGAGGGAAGCCU